GGAAGCACCGGCUAACUCCGUGCCAGCAGCCGCGGUAAUACGGGGGGUGCAAGCGUUGUUCGGAUUUAUUGGGCGUAAAGCGCGUGUAGGCGGUUUUAUAAGUCUGAUGUGAAAGCCCUGGGCUCAACCCGGGAAGUGCAUUGGAUACUGUAAGACUUGAAUACGGGAGAGGGCAGUGGAAUUCCUAGUGUAGGAGUGAAAUCCGUAGAUAUUAGGAGGAACACCGGUGGCGAAGGCGGCUGCCUGGACCGAUAUUGACGCUGAGACGCGAAAGCGUGGGUAGCAAACAGGAUUAGAUACCCUGGUAGUCCACGCCGUACACGAUGAGAACUAGGUGUUGCGGGUA
rnacentral:rRNA from 1 species